rnacentral:lncRNA from 1 species
UACACUAAGCUUACUACUGCCUUUGUCUUUGCUUUUCUCUUGUCCUGAAGCACUAAUUUUUGUUAAUGUGCAACUUGGCUUCCUCUUGUUGUUAAAGUUUCAGCACAAAUGCCUCUUCUUGGGAGAGGCCCUCCCUAGCCACCCCAUUAAGGUAGCUCCUCUCUUCCUUACUAAACCCUCUCUACUCCAGAGCCCUGUUUUGUUUCUUUGUAUCUCUUAUCACUAUCAGAAAUGAUUUCCUUUUAAAAAUAUAUUUUCUAGGCUUCUUUAAAUCCCUCUGUUAGAAUAUCAGCUUUAUAGGAAGAGAAACAUUAUUGAUCUUGAGAAUAAAAAUCAUAUCCCAGAAUCCUGACAUGGAUGUACGUACAUGUACACACACAAACAGAAAAACACCAACAGAAAAAUUUUAGUCCAAACAGUGACUGAAAAUAUCUCUGUUUCAGGAAGACAGCAAGGAAGACCAGUUCAUCCAUGGUCUUAGAAAACCAAGAGUUGUCACUACUGUCAAGAGUUCAUGUUCUGCUUCUGGCUGUGGGGAACAGAGGAGCCCAGGAAGGAGUGGAAAGUAACUGGAAACUAGAGGAGCUGACAGGGCAGCCAGGUUAGAACUGGCUGUCAAUCAAGGCUGGGAAGAAGUUUACUGACACCUGCUCUAGACCAACGAAUGCCCCCGAUCUACAACCACAAGCGUCAUUAAUUCCUAGAACCAGAUUUGCCUCAAAUCCUUUAAGUCAAAGCUGCUACCAACUGCAACCAACACCUAGAAACGCAACUGUGUCAAUGAGUAGACUUACAGAAAAGCAUCUUGGGAGGAGUGAUAAAGGACUGGCAAAAGCUACCAAGAAAGUUUGUGACUCUACUUUUGCAUUUCAUUUAGAAUAAGAUUAUGGAAUAUGACAAAGAUGAUAGGUUUUGUCAAGAUUCUCAUGUUAACUGUUAUUGACUCUGCAAUUUUGAUCUUUCUCGGCGAUAUUGUUUUUGUAAAAGAAGAAAUAAAGAGGAGGAAGUAAUAAAUUUUUUCA